rnacentral:rRNA from 1 species
AGCCUUUAGCCAAUCAAGUAUUAGAGGUAACGCCUGCCCAGUGAGUCCAUCUUUAACGGCCGCGCUCAAACCGUGCAAAGGUAGCAAAAUCAUUUGUCCUCUAAAUAGGGACCAGCAUGAACGGCAACAUGAGAAAGUGCCUGUCUCUUUAGGCUAGUCAGUGAAACUGAUCUGCCUGUACAAAAGCAGGCAUAAAAAAACAAGACAAAAAGACCCUGUGAAACUUUAAGUGCCUUUCAACAUUAUGACUGGGCACUUUUCGGUUGGGGCAACCAAUGAGAAACAAACCUCAUAAAAUCACAAGGCACACAAGCCUAAUGAACACUAAAGAUCCAGUACUACUGAUCAAAGGACAAAGCUACUCCAGGGAUAACAGCGCCACAUUCUUUAAGAGUCCAUAUCAACAAGAAUACCUACGACCUCGAUGUUGGAUCAGGGCACCCCGAUGGCGCAGAAGCUAUUGAAGGUUCGUUUGUUCAACGAUUAAAGCCCU